rnacentral:rRNA from 1 species
UACGUAGGGGGGCGAGCGUUGUCCGGAAUUAUUGGGCGUAAAGCGCGCGUAGGCGGCUUUGUAAGUUAGAGGUGAAAGCCCAGGGCUCAACCCUGGAAUUGCCUUUAAGACUGCAUCGCUUGAACAUCGGAGAGGUAAGUGGAAUUCCGAGUGUAGAGGUGAAAUUCGUAGAUAUUCGGAAGAACACCAGUGGCGAAGGCGACUUACUGGACGAUUGUUGACGCUGAGGUGCGAAAGCGUGGGGGAGCAAACAGG